UAGGGUUUCCACCCUCGCAUCCACUCCUUCCUCCUCGCGCCGCCGUCGCCGCCGGAGCAGCAGCCUCAUCUCGUCGUCGUCGUCUCUAGCAGCCGGAGAAGAGAAGCAUGGAUACCCAGGUCAAGCUUGCCGUCGUGGUGAAGGUGAUGGGCCGCACUGGCUCGAGGGGUCAGGUGACCCAGGUCAGAGUGAAGUUCCUGGACGACCAGAACCGUCUCAUCAUGAGGAACGUCAAGGGCCCGGUGCGCGAGGGCGACAUCCUCACCCUGCUCGAGUCUGAGAGGGAGGCCAGGAGGCUGCGCUGAAGCUGGUGUUCGUGUUAUUUCGUGGUUCCUGCCGUUAAAAGUAAAAUGCCAGAUCGUCGCCUUAUUUUGUGUACUGCUUUCUGAUCCAGUUCUUGAACAAUGGUUUGUCUUUCUGAGUAGGCUAUAUGUUAUGAAUUAAGAGCAAUGGAAAUGUAAUGGGUACUUAUCUGGUUGCAGUUUUGGUCUGUUGUCUAAAACUAAAAUUCCAUUGUUGUGAGACAUAGUUAUGCUCUACUGGCUUUGGGCAACAUGAACCGGUUAGAUGAAUGCUAUCUUCAAUUUACUAAA